rnacentral:rRNA from 1 species
UACGAAGGGGCUAGCGUUGCUCGGAAUUACUGGGCGUAAAGCGCACGUAGGCGGCUUUCUAAGUCGGGGGUGAAAUCCUGGAGCUCAACUCCAGAACUGCCUUCGAUACUGGAGAGCUUGAGUCCGGGAGAGGUGAGUGGAACUGCGAGUGUAGAGGUGAAAUUCGUAGAUAUUCGCAAAGAACACCAGUGGCGAAGGCG